GGGGGUAUAGCUCAGUGGUACAGCGUUUGACUGCAGAUCAAGAGGUCUCCAGUUCAAAUCUGGGUGCCCCCU
rnacentral:tRNA from 1 species